AUUGAACGCUGGCGGCAGGCCUAACACAUGCAAGUCGAGCGAGCGGCGGACGGGUGAGUAAUGUCUGGGAAACUGCCUGAUGGAGGGGGAUAACUACUGGAAACGGUAGCUAAUACCGCAUACCCUCAGAUGUGCCCAGAUGGGAUUAGCUAGUAGGUGGGGUAACGGCUCACCUGGGCGCCGAUCCCUAGCUGGUCUGAGAGGAUGACCAGCCACACUGGAACGGAGACACGGUCCAGACUCCUACGUGAGGCAGCAGGGGGGAAUAUUGCACAAUGGGCGCAAGCCUGAUGCAGCCAUGCCGCGUGUGUGAAGAAGGCCUUCGGGUUGUAAAGCACUUGCAGCGGGGAGGCGUUACCCGCAGAAGAAGCACCGGCUAACUCCGUGCCAGCCGCCGCGGUAAUGC
rnacentral:rRNA from 1 species